UUCGGUUUGAUUCGAUUUUUCAUCUAUUUUGAUUCGAUUCGGUUUCUAAAAUAAGUAAUUUAGUUUUCAUAAUUUAAUUUGGUUCGGUUCGAUUCAAUUUGAACCAAAUGCUCACCCUUAGGUUAGACUUAAUCAUGCUCGUACUGGAAAGGCCUAUUAUGGGAGUAAGCGCUCUUAGCAGGGAUUUUCUUCAUUUACAAGGAUGAACAAUCAACCUUGUUUAAGGCAUACACAGAGUCUUUUGCCACUCUUAUCAACCUUGUUGAUUAGUUUUAGCCAAUUUUGAUUAAAUUGAUUCUAGUUCAAAUUCUGAUCACACCCAUAUCUACAUAUAACGCCCUUGAG
rnacentral:misc_RNA from 1 species